ensembl:lncRNA
GCCCAUAUGUCAGACAGAUUCCUGUCCUACCACGCUCUGGUCUAAAGGGGUGCCCUGGAUAUAGGGCGCGGGUCUAAAGGGGUGCCCUGGAUAUAGGGCGCGGGUCUAAAGGGGUGCCCUGGAUAUAGGGCAUCAAAGGCAUUGUCGUGGAAAUUCAUACUGAGACAGACUUGGUCAUUUCUUCAAACAAUUAUCUUUAUUUAAUAUUGAUUAGUUAUUGCAAUAAUGAGACUAGUCAACCCCACAGUAUUGACUGUUGGGCCGAGCAGCCUAACCUUUACAGACAUGCAGAGUUCUUCAUAUAGCCGACACUAAGAAUGCUUAGUCAUGGCUGGUUCCACCCCUUCCAUGCAGACCAAGGACCAUCAUAAGUCACUCGGGGUUCAUCCUGUCGUUAUCUACACAGGGUUGUUGUCUUAACCGCACCCUGGCUUAGUUUCCCAGUUGCAAGGAUGAUUUAGAGACAAUGAGGGAUUGUUUUACUCCUAAACUAUCUCUAGUAAAACACAUGAUUCUCUCUGUAAUGCAGUCUUUAACUCAUUUCUCAGCUCAAGCCAUCUCGGGUGACCAUAAGCCCAGGUUAGCUGCUGGGAACUGGAGUGGAGCCCAUGAAAACACAGACACUAGUACAGCAGAAAUGUAUUUAAAGAAGUAUUAAUAUAAAACGCUCACAGCAUUACAUACUGUUUCCAAUCAAACAAAAGGUGAUGUAUAGACCAGUGGUUCCCAACCUUUUCCGUUCUGGGGACCACCACAUCACGGGUAAAUGCUCUUAUUAAGGAUUACCGUUCGCCAAGUCACAGACUUGUUUCCACAUCAAAUAUCUUAGUGUAGAGUCAAUGUAACAGAUUAAAGGCCUAUUUCCAUUGUAAAAUUGCUUAUAAUAUAUAUGUUGAGAAUCGUUUAUGCCAGUGGUUAUCAAAAAUGUCCUUUCUCUAUCAUCCGUGGCGUGCCGCUGUUGGUCAGCUCCAUAUUGAUCUCCUAUUGCGUUGAUGUCAUAUAUCGGCCUCCUCUGCAGCGAUCAGAUUUAAGUAUCUGUCUGUAGAUUUUCCCACUUAGGAUUCGGGUGCCUCCUGAGUGGUGCAACGGUCUAAGGCGUCACGACAGACCUGGGUUCGAUCCAAGGCUGUGUCGCAGGCCAAUGAGGCGUCGCACUAUUGGCCCAGUGUCGUCCGGGUUCGGGGAUGUCCUCGUCUCAUCGUGCUCAAGCGACUCCUGUGGCGGUCCGGGCGCAGUGCACGCUGACCAGGUGUUAUGGUGUUUCCUCCGACACAUUGGUGCGGCUGGCUUCCGGGUUAAGUGGACAUUGUGUCAAGAAGCAGUGCGGCUUGGCAGGGUCGUGUUUCAGAGGACGCGUGGCUCUCGACCUUCGCCUCUCCAGAGUCCGUACGGGAGUUGCAGCGACGAAACGAACACCAAGAAAAAGGGGUAAAAAGUGUUUAUUAAAAAAUAGAUUUGGAUUCAGGAAGGGGAAGCUGAUCCAAGAUCUGUACAGACCUAGGGGAAACUUCACCCUGGAGCGGGUUAACAGUCAGGGGCUAGAGGUCAGUCCACUUGCAUGUUACGUAGCAGCAGGCCAUUCUUCACCCCUCCCUGCAGCAUCCUGGCACCUAGACUACUGCCAGCCGUACCAUCACUACAGAGAGAUGGAGUGGGAUGGAGGAAGUGAGGGGAAGAGAGAGGGAGAGGAGAGAGGAAGUGAGAGGAGAGAGAGAGGUGGUGGGAGAGAACAUGUGUUGUGUGGAAGUUUGUGUGUUGUGUUGUGUUGUGUGUGUGUGUGAGAGCAGUGCUUACAGGGGGCUGUACUUCCUCUUCUUGGGGUCUGGUGGUUCGGUGGGAAGACCUUUCUCCCUCCUCUCCGCAGCUCCCCCCUCCUGCUGAGAUGACCUCUGUUCCAGGUUUUGCUGAGGUUAGAGGUCAAAGAAAUUGAAUUGUAAAUGUGUGCCAUGUCAGUUAUUUUACUGUUGUCUCCUCUUGUCUCGUGCUGUCAACGGUGUGACGGCCUUCUAAUGCCAACUCUAUAGUCUAAUAUCUCUUGUGUGUAUGAACCCCUGGUAGACUAGCUGUUGUCAUGGUGUCAGCUAAUGGGGAUCCUAAUGCAGAAUAAAGA